GUCGAGGGUGCGGCGGACGGUAAGGUCGAGGGUCUGGUUGCGGCGGCGGAGGGCGGCAGAGCGGUCAUCGAGGCGGCGCUCGAGGGAGGUGAAGUGGUUGGAGAGCUCCUUCCAGAGAUUGGUGCAGCUGGAGAUGAGAUCCUGCUGUCGCUCCAGCUCGGCGAAACUGUCCUGCACCGCCGUGUCGGCGGCGACGGCGGCGGAUCCCAUCGAGAUUUG
rnacentral:misc_RNA from 1 species